UACGUAGGGUGCAAGCGUUGUCCGGAAUUAUUGGGCGUAAAGAGCUCGUAGGCGGUUUGUCGCGUCUGCUGUGAAAACCCGUGGCUCAACCAUGUGGUCUGCAGUCGAUACGGGCAGGCUAGAAUUCGGUAGGGGAGACUGGAAUUCCUGGUGUAGCGGUGAAAUGCGCAGAUAUCAGGAGGGACACCGGUGGCGAAGGCGGGUCUCUGGGCCGUAACUGACGCCGAGGAGCGAAAGCAUGGGGAGCGAACAGG
rnacentral:rRNA from 1 species